rnacentral:rRNA from 1 species
CUCGUAGUUGGACCUGUGUUCCACGCUGUCGGUUCGCCGCCCGUCGGUGUCAACUGGCAUGUCCUGUGGAACGUCCUGCCGGUGGCGGUCCGGGCUUUCGGCUUGCGUAAGGGCUCACGCCCGAAGCAGGCCGAACAGUACCGGCCGCCGGUCCAAUCCCGCCACGGUGCUCUUCACCGAGUGUCGAGGUGGGCCGGCACGUUUACUUUGAACAAAUUAGAGUGCUUAAAGCAGGCUGGUGUCCGCCUGAAUACUGUGUGCAUGGAAUAAUAGAAUAGGACCUCGGUUCUAUUUUGUUGGUUUUCGGAACCCGAGGUAAUGAUUAAUAGGGACAGGCGGGGGCAUUCGUAUUGCGACGUUAGAGGUGAAAUUCUUGGAUCGUCGCAAGACGAACCUAAGCGAAAGCAUUUGCCAAGUAUGUUCUCGUUAAUCAAGAACGAAAGUUAGAGGUUCGAAGGCGAUCAGAUACCGCCCUAGUUCUAACCAUAAACGAUGCCAGCCAGCGAUCCGCCGAAGUUCCUCCGAUGACUCGGCGGGCAGCUUCCGGGAAACCAAAGCUUUUGGGUUCCGGGGGAAGUAUGGUUGCAAAGCUGAAACUUAAAGGAAUUGACGGAAGGGCACCACCAGGAGUGGAGCCUGCGGCUUAAUUUGACUCAACACGGGAAACCUCACCAGGCCCGGACACCGGAAGGAUUGACAGAUUGAGAGCUCUUUCUUGAUUCGGUGGGUGGUGGUGCAUGGCCGUUCUUAGUUGGUGGAGCGAUUUGUCUGGUUAAUUCCGAUAACGAACGAGACUCUAGCCUGCUAACUAGGCGAUUCCGGUACCCACAAUAGUGUUACCGGCGAUUCAAUUUCUUCUUAGAGGGACAGGCGGCUCCUAGCCGCACGAGACUGAGCAAUAACAGGUCUGUGAUGCCCUUAGAUGUCCUGGGCCGCACGCGCGCUACACUGAAGGAAUCAGCGUGUCUUCCCUGGCCGACAGGCCCGGGUAACCCGUUGAACCUCCUUCGUGCUAGGGAUUGGGGCUUGCAAUUGUUCCCCAUGAACGAGGAAUUCCCAGUAAGCGCGAGUCAUAAGCUCGCGUUGAUUACGUCCCUGCCCUUUGUACACACCGCCCGUCGCUACUACCGAUUGAAUGAUUUAGUGAGGUCUUCGGACUGGUGCGCGGCGAUCGGCUUAUACUGCCGGCCGCCGAUGUUGCCGGAAAGAUGACCAAACUUGAUCAUUUAGAGGAAGUAAAAGUCGUAACAAGGUUUCC